CAGGGGUGGGGGAGGGGAAGGAGGAGAAGCCGCUGGCCGAGCAGGUGAAACGCUCCACCCUGAACCCCCACGCCAAGGAAUUCAGCCCCGGGCGGCCCCUGGCCAAGGCCCCGCCCAGCGCCGCCCCCUCCCCCACCCCCCG